UACGGAGGAUGCAAGCGUUAUCCGGAAUGAUUGGGCGUAAAGCGUCCGCAGGUGGCUGUGUAAGUCUGCUGUCAAAGAGCAAAGCUCAACUUUGUAAAGGCAGUGGAAACUACACGGCUAGAGUGCGUUCGGGGCAGAGGGAAUUCCUGGUGUAGCGGUGAAAUGCGUAGAGAUCGGGAAGAACAUCGGUGGCGAAAGCGCUCUGCUGGACUGCAACUGACACUCAGGGACGAAAGCUAGGGGAGCGAAUGGG
rnacentral:rRNA from 1 species